AUGUUUGUAGAUGAACAGAUUGAUGAAUUCACGAUGAUGCAGUACUGUAUUGAAUGUUUUCACUUGUAUUGUACUAGGAGUAAGUACGAAGAAGGAAGAAGAAAUCAACAACGGAGGAGAUUUAUCUAUAGUUCUAUACACCGAAUGCUGCCGCCGUCUCCGAUCGACGGAACGGCUUGGAACCUGCUGGCAAUUCACCGCCAAUGGAUGGAUGUGAGCCGGGCCGUCGGCGUCAGAACUCAGAAGAGGUUGAGGACCUCGCGGAUGGCGGCGUUGCAGAGCGGGCAGCGGCCGCGGCCGGCGCGGACCUCGCGGGCGCAGGCGCGGCAGAAGGUGUGGCCGCAGGGGACGAAGGCCGCGCCCUUGCGCCGCGCCAUGCACACGCAGCACCGCCCGCCCACGCCCCUCCCACUCCCCUCCUCCCCCUCCGCCGCCGCGUCCUGGUCCACGCGCGUCCACGCCCCGGCGCGCGCCGCCGCCGUCGUCCACUGCCGCUCCGCCUGCUCCAGCAGCGCCAUCAGCGACACCCGCCUCUCCUCCCCCUGCCCGGGCGACGCCGCCCCCGGCACCGCUCCCGCCACGGCCGCCGUCGGUGCGGGCUCCGCGGCGCGCGUGGAGGAGGGGGGAGCCGGGGGAGCGGCGUCGUCUUCGGGGCCGCGGAUGACGUCGAGGAGCGUGCGGCGCCUGGCGGGCCGGGCGCCGUCGCCCUCGCCCUGA
rnacentral:rRNA from 1 species